UACGGGGGUGGCAAGCGUUGUUCGGAAUUACUGGGCGUAAAGGGCGCGUAGGCGGCUUUGCAAGUCAGAUGUGAAAGCCCCGAGCUUAACUCGGGAAUUGCAUCUGAAACUGCUUAGCUUGAGUUCUGGAGGGGGUAGUGGAAUUCCCAGUGUAGCGGUGAAAUGCGUAGAUAUUGGGAGGAACACCAGCGGCGAAGGCGGCUACCUGGACAGUAACUGACGCUGAUGCGCGAAAGCUAGGGGAGCGAACGGG
rnacentral:rRNA from 1 species